CGGGUCUCCUGCCUGAGUGGGCUGGCUCUCAGCCCUGCCUGGACCAACUGCGGCUUCUGCUGGAACGUCAGCGGCUGACUUAGAAGAAACAGCUCCUGUUCUAGGCUUCCUGCAGGUCCCACGGUGCUGCUUGUUCCAGAGAAACGCAGCUCAGGCUGGCGGCCUCAGGUGGGCAUGGGUGGCAGGGGACGCCAUCACCCAAAUCAGGGAUCUUUCUCUGUCCUGAGGGUUCCACCCCAGGACCCAGGGCACUAACUGGGUUCUUGUGUGGCCCUUCCCGACCAGACCUGACCCCUGAGCUGCGUGUGUGAGGUGAUGGUGACUCCACGACAGCUUGUGUGCCGUUAUGGGGGCACCUGGGGACUGGCU
rnacentral:lncRNA from 1 species